rnacentral:rRNA from 1 species
GAUGAACGCUGGCGGCGUGCCUAAUACAUGCAAGUCGAGCGAACGGACGAGAAGCUUGCUUUUCUGAUGUUAGCGGCGGACGGGUGAGUAACACGUGGAUAACCUACCUAUAAGACUGGGAUAACUUCGGGAAACCGGAGCUAAUACCGGAUAAUAUUUUGAACCGCAUGGUUCAAAAGUGAAAUACGGUCUUGCUGUCACUUCUAGAUGGAUCCGCGCUGCAUUAGCUAGUUGGUAAGGUAACGGCUUACCAAGGCAACGAUGCAUAGCCGACCUGAGAGGGUGAUCGGCCACACUGGAACUGAGACACGGUCCAGACCCCUACGGGAGGCAGCAGUAGGGAAUCUUCCGCAAUGGGCGAAAGCCUGACGGAGCAACGCCGCGUGAGUGAUGAAGGUCUUCGGAUCGUAAAACUCUGUUAUUAGGGAAGAACAUAUGUGUAAGUAACUGUGCACAUCUUGACGGUACCUAAUCAGAAAGCCACGGCUAACUACGUG